rnacentral:rRNA from 1 species
GUACAAAAAUUUUGGCCUCUUCACGAGGGAAUGCCUAGUAAGCGCAGUGUCAUCAAGCUUGCGUUGAUUACGUCCCUGCCCUUUGUACACACCGCCCGUCGCUACUACCGAUUGAAUGGCUCAGUGAGGCGUCCGGACUGGCUCGGGGAGGUUGGCAACUACCACCCCAGGCC